UACGUAGGUGGCAAGCGUUAUCCGGAUUUACUGGGUGUAAAGGGCGUGUGGGCGGUUCUGCAAGUCAGAUGUGAAAUCUCCGGGCUUAACCCGGAAGCUGCAUCUGAAACUACAGAACUUGAGUACUGGAGAGGAUAGUGGAAUUCCUAGUGUAGCGGUAAAAUGCGUAGAUAUUAGGAGGAACACCAGUGGCGAAGGCGGCUAUCUGGACAGUAACUGACGCUGAGGCGCGAAAGCGUGGGGAGCAAACAGGAUUAGAUACCCU
rnacentral:rRNA from 1 species